rnacentral:rRNA from 1 species
CGUGGGUAACCUGCCUGUAAGACUGGGAUAACUCCGGGAAACCGGGGCUAAUACCGGAUGGUUGUUUGAACCGCAUGGUUCAAACAUAAAAGGUGGCUUCGGCUACCACUUACAGAUGGACCCGCGGCGCAUUAGCUAGUUGGUGAGGUAAUGGCUCACCAAGGCAACGAUGCGUAGCCGACCUGAGAGGGUGAUCGGCCACACUGGGACUGAGACACGGCCCAGACUCCUACGGGAGGCAGCAGUAGGGAAUCUUCCGCAAUGGACGAAAGUCUGACGGAGCAACGCCGCGUGAGUGAUGAAGGUUUUCGGAUCGUAAAGCUCUGUUGUUAGGGAAGAACAAGUACCGUUCGAAUAGGGCGGUACCUUGACGGUACCUAACCAGAAAGCCACGGCUAACUACGUGCCAGCAGCCGCGGUAAUACGUAGGUGGCAAGCGUUGUCCGGAAUUAUUGGGCGUAAAGGGCUCGCAGGCGGUUUCUUAAGUCUGAUGUGAAAGCCCCCGGCUCAACCGGGGAGGGUCAUUGGAAACUGGGAAACUUGAGUGCAGAAGAGGAGAGUGGAAUUCCACGUGUAGCGGUGAAAUGCGUAGAGAUGUGGAGGAACACCAGUGGCGAAGGCGACUCUCUGGUCUGUAACUGACGCUGAGGAGCGAAAGCGUGGGGAGCGAACAGGAUUAGAUACCCUGUAGUCCACGCCGUAAACGAUGAGUGCUAAGUGUUAGGGGGUUUCCGCCCCUUAGUGCUGCAGCUAACGCAUUAAGCACUCCGCCUGGGGAGUACGGUCGCAAGACUGAAACUCAAAGGAAUUGACGGGGGCCCGCACAAGCGGUGGAGCAUGUUGUUUAAUUCGAAGCAACGCGAAGAACCUUACUAGGUCUUGACAUCCUCUGACAAUCCUAGAGAUAGGACGUCCCCUUCGGGGGCAGAGUGACAGGUGGUGCAUGGUUGUCGUCAGCUCGUGUCGUGAGAUGUUGGGUUAAGUCCCGCAACGAGCGCAACCCUUGAUCUUAGUUGCCAGCAUUCAGUUGGGCACUCUAAGGUGACUGCCGGUGACAAACCGGAGGAAGGUGGGGAUGACGUCAAAUCAUCAUGCCCCUUAUGACCUGGGCUACACACGUGCUACAAUGGACAGAACAAAGGGCAGCGAAACCGCGAGGUUAAGCCAAUCCCACAAAUCUGUUCUCAGUUCGGAUCGCAGUCUGCAACUCGACUGCGUGAAGCUGGAAUCGCUAGUAAUCGCGGAUCAGCAUGCCGCGGUGAAUACGUUCCCGGGCCUUGUACACACCGCCCGUCACACCACGAGAGUUUGUAACACCCGAAGUCGGUGAGGUAACCUUUUAGGAGCCAGCCGCCGAAGGUGGGACAGAUGAUUGGGGUGAAGUCGUAACAAGGUA